CCCCAGUUCCUUCCAAUCACGUCAACAUCCAGAUUGCAGCUCCGCCAUCGUCUCCUUGCAAGCUUUGUCUUGGUUCGAAUUUUCUUGCUGCCUGUUGAGUCCAGGUUCAUGAGAGCUGGACAUCCUACUACAACCAGCUGACCAUAGUGCCACCGACGGAUUGACCACAAGUUGUGGCUGAAAAUACCUGGCUUAUAACAAUCAAGAAUCAAAGUCAUAACCGCUAGCCGUCCAGUAAAACCCAAUAGAUGGAAGGCCGAGUUCCUUUCAGAGAUAUUACAAAUGUUCACUCGACGACUUCACCAAAAGGGAACCAAC